GAAGAUCGGCUUAACCUCUGCUUCACUCCUCUGUUUGAAUGUUGGCCACUUACACAUCUAUCAACAAACAGCUGAGCUACGUGGAACCUGUGAGGACUCACACUAGCCAACAGACUAGUCACACUGAGCCAUCAAUCAGAGAAAGAUGAGGGAGUUCUCAGUUCAACACGAGAGGAAACACCCUGUCUUCAGGGAUACAACCAAUCAUCCUGGAUCAGAGGCCACACAGCAAGGGUUCAGAUGAGAAGCAGGCCUGCAGCUGGCAUACAAAUAAAGAGCUGGGAGGCUCUGUCUUACACAGGAGCCCGUCACAGAGGACUACAGAAUGCUGCCACAAACCAAGAAGGUAGAAGAA
rnacentral:lncRNA from 1 species